rnacentral:lncRNA from 1 species
AAUUACAGGCGUGAGCCACCGCGUCCAGCCUAGAAUCAGCAAACACUUUUUUGAGUGCUUUCUACGUGCCAGGCCCUGCUCUGGAUGCUUUUCAUAAAGUAUCUCAUUUAAUCAUCACAAGACAUUGGGAGGGAUUAUUCUGCCUGUGUUAGACAAAUGAGCCAAUCGGAGCUCAGAGAGAUUAAGUAACUGCCCAAGGUCACACAGCAGUGUUGGAGGCAGGAUCUGAGCCCUGCUGUUGCUGAAAUGAGAGUUCAUGGUCGGUCAGCAUCGCUUCAUGCUGAUCAACAGGGCUUACUGGUACUUAGGGAGCGGGGUGGGAAGAAGAAAAAGUAGCUUCUCGUUUUAUUUAAGGAAAAAAAACACAAAAAGAUCCCUUCCCUUGCAUACACACAGGGAGGUAUAGCAAAAGGGAUUGGAGGCGAGGUCAGUAAAUGGAUGGCCUGCUGCCAAUCAAGCCCCAGGGCUCUUGGCCAUGAGGCCCCUUGGCCACCUCCUGCGGUGACGGUGCCGGCGCCAUGCAGAGCCAGCAUAAACAAGUCCUUGACCGAGUGAGAGCCCUGGCCCCAUGAGGCCUGGCCUAAGCGUGUAGUUAUCUCUGCAAAGCAGAGCACCCUUAAUUAACUGACUAAUUGUUCUUUCCUGCUUGGAAUAUGAGUUGGUUUGCUUUGGGCUUUUUCUGGGACUCAGAGAAAUCUGUCUCCCAGUAAUGAAUUACUCCUCUAGUCCGAAGGUCCAAUGGCUGGAAGAAGACAGGUUUCUCGGAGAGAGCUGAUUGGGUUUCCUCCUUUUCCCUCCUAAUACAACAUAUCUGUUCCCAGAGUCCAACAGCUCCACUGCCACAGAAUUAUUGAUCUAGCACAAGCUGUGCCCCAGGCUCCCCAUCUUAUGAUUCGCUAGGGCAGAAAAUGCAGUUCCAGAGCCCCAUGAGCCCCUGAGCAGCCUCAGUGCUGACUUUAGGGAGGUUCCCUGAGAGGGGAGGGCCAGGAGUAGAGACUGGGCUGGGAGCUUUCCUUCCUCCAGGCACUGUCUCCUCUACUGUGUUUGCAACAUCCUAGAGAUUUAGGAAGCAGAUGGUUUGGAGGUAUAAUUCCUAAAAUAAAUAACCAGACACCUUUUUCCCUCUAUUUCCUUUUCUUCCAUCACUUAGAAGACAACAGUCUCCCAGCAAAAUGUUGCAAGCAGCACAGGCUCAGGAAUGGACAGACUGGCAGGCAAGACACAGCAAGAAGGCAGCAGUCUGCACACCAGGAGGAGAGUCCUCACCACAACUCAGCCCUGCCACACCCUGAUCCUGGACUUUCAGCCUCCAGAGCUGUGAGAAAUAAAUGCCUGCUGUUUCAGCAGCUCAGUCUAUGGUAUUUUGUUGUGGCAGCCUGGGCUAAGAGUGAAAAGGGACAGUUCCAGGCAGAGGGAACAAUCCCUACAAAGGCUGAAAAUGAAGACAGAGAUAGUAAGCCACAGCGGGAUAAAAGAUGAGGGACACACUGGGAUGAGAAAGUGGGGCUCUUAGAGACCCGGCCUGAGUGUUGGACUCAGCCCCUCCUGAGGGCACCAGAGGCCACAGAGGUGCCUGAGAGAAGAGCUCAACCAGAUCUGCACAUGAGGAAGACGGCUCAGGCUGCAGUGUGGAAACUGGGUGAGAACAGGAGGGAGGCCGAGGCAGAGCCUUCAGUCCAGCCAGGUGGGAGGUGAGACCCCUGGAUGAGGAGUGCGGCCAUCAGAGGGAUGUCAGGGACACAUACAAAAGCUGCUUAGGAAGUAGAAGAGACUGACUUUGGUGAAAGUUGGGGAGGAAGAGGCCAGCGUCAUGCUCAGAUGUCUGGCUUUUGCACUUGGAUGGAAGAGGGGUUUCUAAUCUCUCCCGAGUGGGGCUGCCCUCCAGGCUGGGUCUCCCAUGUGGCAGGGAUUCUGUCAUACAUGAUUGGAUACAGUCCCCAUGACAAUGGCGUGUGCUGCAGUUACUCAUCUGAGACCACACAGGCGGCGAGUGAGUGAGGCAGCUGUUGUUUCAACCCACAUGUGACCUGCCCACGUCCACUCUGCAACACCCACAGGGCUAGACAUCUCAUCAGUUGCAGAAUCUUCUUGCCAGCCAUUGUCGCACCUGCUGUUCCCAAGCUAGUGAGCCCAUGAGCCCUCCCUGCCAACCUCCUCGUCACUACCAGCUCUAAGGUGGCUCACUGCCCACUCCUUGCAAAAACCUCUCUGACCCAGUGUGCUGAAAGUUAGUGUGAGCUGCUUGAAUGCAUGUGCUUGGUGCCAUUUGACAAGUAAUCUCACCUGCCUUGUCCUCUUGUCAUAGUGACUGUGUCCCAUCUUUCCUAAGAAAAUUGCCAGCUUCCUGAGACAGGACCAUACCCUUUAUAUCCCUAUACCUGCUGUGAAGACUCAGACUCCAAGCUCUCACCUCCUGCUGCUUUUCAAGAGAAAACAAGGACCAUGGGGCCAGGUGUAGUGGCUCAUGCCCGUAAUCCAGCACUUUGGGAGGCCGAGGAGGGUGGAUCACCUGAGGUCAGGAGUUCGAGGCCGGCCUGGCCAACAUGGUGAAAUCCCGUCUCUACUAAAAAUACAAAAAUUAGCCAGGCAUGGUGGUGGGCGCCUGUAAUCCCAGCUACUCUGGAGGCUGAGCAGGAGAAUCGCCUGAAUCCGGGAGGCAGAGGCUGCCGUGAGCCGAGAUUGCGCCAUUACACUCCAACAUGGGUGACAAGAGUGG